rnacentral:lncRNA from 1 species
UGAAAUAUAUAUAGUUACUACUUAUAGUUAACAGCUUGUACAUAAAAAAAAAAUGAUAGUGCGUGUAAACCAUCUUGACAUUUUUUUUUUCAUUAACUUUUACACUGUUUCUGUUAAGUCUGUGCAUUUAUACGUUAUAUGUGUUUUACACCCCAAAAAAUUUACACAAAGUGACACAGACAAUUGUUUUGAGAGGCUGAACAUCAAUUAUUAUAAAACAAUCCAAUCAUAUGAGGCAAAAGGUGUGAUAAUAAAUUCUCAUGCCAUUACUUUAAUACCAGAUGGAACCAGUUCACAAUGUACAUUUGACAUCAUAACUUGAUACUUAUUUGGUUCAUUAUUAAAUAAAAAGAGUUUGUUUGUAAACGUCAUAGC